GUAAGUCUCUUUCGGGAGAACACGACCGGCGCACGGGUGAGUAACGCGUAUGCAACCUACCUUUGGCACGGGGACAGCCCGGGGAAACCCGGAUUAAUACCCGGUAUAGUCUGUUAUACACCUGUAUAAAAGACGAGAGCUACGGCGGNCAAAGAUGGGCAUGCGUGCCAUUAGUUAGUUGGUAGGGUAACGGCCUACCAAGGCAUCGAUGGCUACGGGGUCUAAAAGGAUGAGCCCGCACACUGGUACUGAGACACGGACCAGACUCCUACGGGAGGCAGCAGUGAGGAAUAUUGGUCAAUGGGUGGAAGCCUGAACCAGCCAUGCCGCGUGCAGGAAGACGGCCUUAUGGGUUGUAAACUGCUUUUCUACGGGACGAACGGCUCUGACGUGUCAGAGAUUGACGGUACCGUAGGAAUAAGCAUCGGCUAACUCCGUGCCAGCAGCCGCGGUAAUACGGAGGAUGCGAGCGUUAUCCGGAUUUAUUAGGUUUACAGGGUGCGUAGGCUGGGCAAUAAGUCAGUGGUGAAAGUCCGCGGCUCAACCGUGGGAUUGCCAUUGAAACUUGUUGUUCUUGAGUACAGUCGAGGUAGGCGGAAUGUGUAAUGUACCGGUGAAAUGCCAUAGAUAUUACCCAGAACACCGAUUGGCGUAGGCAGCUUACCAGCCUGGAACUGACGCUGA
rnacentral:rRNA from 1 species